GACUGCUAAGGUGGCCUAGUGGUUAGAGCGUCCGCCUCGGAUGCGGGAGGUCGUGGGUUUGAUCCGCUGCUGAGUCA